rnacentral:SRP_RNA from 1 species
GCUGGGUGUGGUGGCGCACACCUGUAGUCCCACCUACUCAGGAGGCUGAGGCAGGAGAAUCGCUUGAACCCGGGAGGCGGAGGUUGCGGUGAGCAGAGAUCGUGCCGCUGCACUCUAGCCUGGGUGACGGAGUGAGACUCUGUCUCAA